GUGGGAGGGAUAUGCCAUUAACUAGCCGUAGACGCAUCUAGGUGAAUAGCUCCCAAUUAAAAUCUACUUGAUCGAAUCUACCAAACUUACCUUAGACACUAACUGAUUAAUUAAUUUUGAUUUGGUCCAUCAGAAGAUUCAGGCUUAACCAUAGAGCCAUGAUCAUGGUCUAUUUAUUAAGAUAAAAAACAUGGACUUGAUUAAACUUCAACUAUUGAGAUUGAUCUAAAAAAAUUUUGACCUAAUUUAAUUCAACUCUUAAUUAGAUUUAAUCAAUUUCUCUAUCAAAUCC
rnacentral:lncRNA from 1 species